GCGAGCUUCAAGGCCUUCUCCAGAGUUUGCGUACUUUUGAGCAGACGGUGGUGCGUGAUGGGACUCUGGGUUCAGGUGAACCCUCACGCGAACCUCAGCCUCAGACGUGUGCAGAAAUGUGGGUAGACCAGGCUCGCGGACUGGCUAAGAGUUGCCCCGGCAACGAUGAGGACUCAGAUACUGGGCUGAGCUCCAUGCACAGCCAAGACUCAGACUCGGUACCCCCUGUGUGUGAAUCCCUUGUGUAGAAGUUGUAGGGAGCUAGCUUAGACGCUUGCAGCAUGCACUUGCUUGGCCUGCUCAGGGACAUGAAGUGAGGCCAUGGGGGUGAGCUCAGAGUUCCCAUGGGUGGGUCUGGAGAGUGAGUGUGAAGGGGGGGGGGGGUCCUGGACAGGGAAGCCCUAAACUUCCUAAGCUUUAGAGGGAAGAGGAGUCAGGAGGUGAGAAUCCCUCCCUGUUUUUAAAAAAAGCAUUAGGUAAGUGACGAGGUCCAAGCCCAUUUUCAAAACAAGAGAAAAGAAAAACAUUAUGGGACAUUUUUACCACUCCUGUGUAUGGGAAGGACCGAUGACAGCUAGAACUGUGGUCUGUGUCAUAAAGUGCUGCUAAAAGAAAACACUUGGAUGGAAAGGAAAUUCCUUGAAUGUUAAUUGUGACUGGAAACGUGUUCAAACUAGCCAAAGAGGACGCACUAGUGUGUUGGUCUCUGCCUUGCUUAACAUCUUGAUAAAACCAUAGGCAUCAA
rnacentral:lncRNA from 1 species